rnacentral:lncRNA from 1 species
GUCUUCUGUUAGUGUGUUUUCCUGACAGGACUGUUUUGCUGUCGUCUUUGGUUUCUUUUUGUCAAGUGCAUGUAUUGUAUAACAUAAUGUCCUAGGUGUGUCAUCUGAUGAAGAUCAUCAAAGAUUAGUGCUGCAUUUAGCUGUCUUCUGGGUUUUUGUGACAUUAUAUGCUAGCUUGAAAAAUGGGUGUCUGAUUAUUUCUGGCUGGGUACUCUGCUGACAUAAUCUAAUGUUUUGCUUUCGUUGUAAAGCCUUUUUGAAAUCGGACAGUGUGGUUAGAUUAACGAGAGUCUUGUCUUUAAAAUGCUGUAAAAUAGUUAUGUUUGAGAAAUUGAAGUAAUAGCAUUUCUAAGGUUUUUGAAAAUCGCGCCACAGGAUUCAACUGGCUGUUACGCAGGUGGGACGAUUUGGUGCCACCUAGCCCAGAGAGGUUAAGGUAGAGAAAUGAACAUUAAAUUCUAUGGCAACAGCUAAGGUGGACAUUCCUGCAGUCGGCAUGCCAAUUGCACGCUCCCUCUAAACUGGACAUCUGUGGCUUUAUGUUGUGUGACAAUACUGUGCAUUUUAGAGUGGCCUUUUAUCGUCCCCAGCACAAGAUGCACCUGUGUAAUGAUUAUACUGUUUAAUCAGCUUCUUGAUAUGCCACACCUGUCAGAUGGAUGGAUUAUCUUGGCAUAGGAGAAAUGCUCACUAACAGGGAUGCAACAAAUUUGUGUACAACAUUUGAGAGAAAUUGUGCGUAUGGAACCUUUCUAGGAUCUUUUAUUUUCAGUUCAUGUAACAUGGGACCAACACUUUACAUGUUACAUUUAUAUUUUUGCUCAGUGUAUGUCCUCAUCAGUCAAACAAUAGCUGGGAAAAAGACAGUCAGGACCACAGAGUCUACUUUCACUGAACCACAGGUGUAUAAAGGUGCUCCUCUCUCUCCAUCUGAGCAGAACCUACGUUAUCUACCUGUGAUUCACUCUACAGCAAACUAUCACCAUGGCGAUGAUGACCAUUCUUCUGCUUCUCAGCGCUGCCUUGGCUUUGGGCAACGCAAAGCCCUUACAGGAGGCCAAUGAUGUGGAUCAACUCCUUGCUUUUGAGGCUAAGGGGGUGGAGGAGCUGCAGGAGUUGCAGGAGGUGCAGGAGGAUGAGCAGGAGGUGCAGGAGGAGGAGGAGGAGGAGGAGCAGGAGGUGCAAGAGGAGGUGGGGGUAGAGAGCAGGAGCUUGUGUCCCUCAGGCUGGACCAAAUACGGAUCCUGCUGUUUGAUGUUUGUUGGUGGCCCCAGCACAUGGAUUGAGGCAGAGGUACAGUGAACACAUAUCUGUAUCAGCAAACUUUAGACGCCAUUGUUGUUUUAAUAACAAUUAUAACUUGUAAGUAGAAUACAAUACAAGCACAAUUACUCUGUAUUCUAUUCUCUGUCUGAAAUGUCUCUGCCCCUCUUGCGGUACUGUGUGCACUUUGGAGCGAACCUGGCGUCAGUUCACAACUCCCAGGAGUAUCAUUUUCUGCAGGAGCUGGUUAGGAACCAUACCAAUGGGUUCCCAGGCACCUGGAUCGGAGGCUCUGAUGCCGUCUCUAACACAAUAUGGCUUUGUAGCGACGGGUCCAGGUUUGAUUACCAUGGCUGGAACCCAGGAGAGCCUAGCAACAACAACAGAGAGAGAUGCCUAGAGAUGAACUUUGGCGGUAAAGGAUAUGGCUAUAUAUACAGUAUAUCAACCAUUGUAUAGCAGAGUACCACCUUGUUGUGUAGUUGUUCUUAGUAAAAAGAGUGUAAUACAGUGUGAGAAAUAUGUGAAACCUGGGCUUGUUUAUUCAUAUUUUGUCUCGUAGUCUUACAAUGCAUACAAUGCUUUCUGUAUCUGUUUUUCUCUCCCUAAACCCAUAACUUCUGUGUACUCUUAAAAUGGCACACAUAUAUUUAACAUACACAUCAAACACCUAUUUUGGCAAAUAAAAAUAGUAUAAAGAUAUUUUAGGGUAUACAGUGCAUAUAUUGACUUGUGUAUUUUCUCUCUACAGUACUUAAGCGCUGGAACAACAAACCCUGUCACUACACACUACCCUCCAUCUGCUCUAAAAGACUAUGCUAGAUGAACC